GGCGUGCUUAACACAUGCAAGUCGAACGAAGCACUUAUCUUUGAUUCUUCGGAUGAAGAGGUUUGUGACUGAGUGGCGGACGGGUGAGUAACGCGUGGGUAACCUGCCUCAUACAGGGGGAUAACAGUUAGAAAUGACUGCUAAUACCGCAUAAGACCACGGAGCCACAUGGCUCAGUGGGAAAAACUCCGGUGGUAUGAGAUGGACCCGCGUCUGAUUAGGUAGUUGGUGGGGUAACGGCCUACCAAGCCAACGAUCAGUAGCCGACCUGAGAGGGUGACCGGCCACAUUGGGACUGAGACACGGCCCAAACUCCUACGGGAGGCAGCAGUGGGGAAUAUUGCACAAUGGGGGAAACCCUGAUGCAGCGACGCCGCGUGAGCGAAGAAGUAUUUCGGUAUGUAGAGCUCUAUCAGCAGGGAAGAAAAUGACGGUACCUGACUAAGAAGCACCGGCUAAAUACGUGCCAGCAGCCGCGGUAAUACGUAUGGUGCAAGCGUUAUCCGGAUUUACUGGGUGUAAAGGGAGCGUAGACGGCUGUGUAAGUCUGAAGUGAAAGCCCGGGGCUCAACCCCGGGACUGCUUUGGAAACUAUGCAGCUAGAGUGUCGGAGAGGUAAGUGGAAUUCCCAGUGUAGCGGUGAAAUGCGCAGAUAUUGGGAGGAACACCAGUGGCGAAGGCGGCUUACUGGACGAUGACUGACGUUGAGGCUC
rnacentral:rRNA from 1 species